rnacentral:tRNA from 1 species
UUUAGGGUGGCAGAGCCCGGUUUAUGCAGAAGACCUAAGCUCUUCGACCCAGAAGUUCAAAUCCUCUCCCUAAAA